UCAGGAUGAACGCUAGCUACAGGCUUAACACAUGCAAGUCGAGGGGAAACGAUAUUGGAAGCUUGCUUCCGAUAGGCGUCGACCGGCGCACGGGUGAGUAACGCGUAUCCAACCUGCCCACCACUUGGGGAUAACCUUGCGAAAGUAAGACUAAUACCCAAUGAUAUCUCUAGAAGACAUCUGAAAGGGAUUAAAGAUUCAUCGGUGAUGGAUGGGGAUGCGUCUGAUUAGCUUGUUGGCGGGGUAACGGCCCACCAAGGCUACGAUCAGUAGGGGUUCUGAGAGGAAGGUCCCCCACAUUGGAACUGAGACACGGUCCAAACUCCUACGGGAGGCAGCAGUGAGGAAUAUUGGUCAAUGGGCGAGAGCCUGAACCAGCCAAGUAGCGUGCAGGAUGACGGCCCUAUGGGUUGUAAACUGCUUUUAUAAGGGAAUAAAGUGGGAGUCGUGACUCUUUUUGCAUGUACCUUAUGAAUAAGGACCGGCUAAUUCCGUGCCAGCAGCCGCGGUAAUACGGAAGGUCCGGGCGUUAUCCGGAUUUAUUGGGUUUAAAGGGAGCGUAGGCCGGAGAUUAAGCGUGUUGUGAAAUGUAGAUGCUCAACAUCUGCACUGCAGCGCGAACUGGUUUCCUUGAGUACGCACAAAGUGGGCGGAAUUCGUGGUGUAGCGGUGAAAUGCUUAGAUAUCACGAAGAACUCCGAUUGCGAAGGCAGCUCACUGGAGCGCAACUGACGCUGAAGCUCGAAAGUGCGGGUAUCGAACAGGAUUAGAUACCCUGGUAGUCCGCACGGUAAACGAUGGAUGCCCGCUGUUGGUCUGAAUAGGUCAGCGGCCAAGCGAAAGCAUUAAGCAUCCCACCUGGGGAGUACGCCGGCAACGGUGAAACUCAAAUGAAUUGAC
rnacentral:rRNA from 1 species